UACGUAGGGCGCAAGCGUUGUCCGGAAUUAUUGGGCGUAAAGAGCUCGUAGGCGGCUGUUCAAGUCGAACGUGAAAACUCGGAGCUCAACUCCGAGCCUGCGUUCGAUACUGGACGGCUAGAGUCUGGUAGGGGGAUCUGGAAUUCCUGGUGUAGCGGUGGAAUGCGCAGAUAUCAGGAGGAACACCGGUGGCGAAGGCGGGUCUCUGGGCCGAUACUGACGCUGAGGAGCGAAAGCGUGGGGAGCGAACAGG
rnacentral:rRNA from 1 species